rnacentral:rRNA from 1 species
GAUGAACGCUGGCGGCGUGCCUAAUACAUGCAAGUCGAGCGAACAGACGAGGAGCUUGCUCCUCUGACGUUAGCGGCGGACGGGGGAGUAACACGUGGAUAACCUACCUAUAAGACUGGGAUAACGUCGGGAAACCGGAGCUAAUACCGGAUAAUAUAUUGAACCGCAUGGUUCAAUAGUGAAAGACGGUUUUGCUGUCACUUAUAGAUGGAUCCGCGCCGCAUUAGCUAGUUGGUAAGGUAACGGCUUACCAAGGCGACGAUGCGUAGCCGACCGGAGAGGGGGAACGGCCACUCUGGACCUGAGGCACGGUCCAGACUCCGACGGGAGGCGGCAGUAGGGAAUCUUCCGCAAUGGGCGAAAGCCUGCCGGAGCAACGCCGCGGGAGUGAUGAAGGUCUUCGGAUCGUAAAACUCUGUUAUUAGGGAAGAACAAAUGUGUAAGUAACUAUGCACGUCUUGACGGUACCUAAUCAGAAAGCCACGGCUAACUACGUG